rnacentral:rRNA from 1 species
UACGUAGGGGGCAAGCGUUGUCCGGAUUCAUUGGGCGUAAAGAGCGUGUAGGCGGCCAGGUAGGUCGGUUGUGAAAACUGGAGGCUCAACCUUCAGACGUCGACCGAAACCAUCUGGCUAGAGUCCGGGAGAGGAGAGUGGAAUUCCUGGUGUAGCGGUGAAAUGCGCAGAUAUCAGGAAGAACACCCGUGGCGAAAGCGGCUCUCUGGAACGGUACUGACGCUGAGACGCGAAAGCGUGGGGAUCGAACAGG